GAUGAAGAACGUAGCGAAAUGCGAUACUUGGUGUGAAUUGCAGAAUCCCGUGAACCAUCGAGUCUUUGAACGCAAGUUGCGCCCGAAGCCACUAGGCCGAGGGCACGCCUGCCUGGGCGUCACACGCCGUUGCCCCCCCAUCUACUCCUUCGGGAUUGCGGGGGGGCGGAUGAUGGCCUCCUGUGCGCCUAACCGCGCGGUUGGCAUAAAUACCAAGUCCUCGGCGACGCACGCCACGACAAUCGGUGGUUGCGAAACCUCGGUUGCCCGUCGUGUGCGUUCGUCGCGCAUCGAGGGCUCGAAAAAAUGCUCGGCUCCGGCUGGGCUUUCAACGCGACCCCAGGUCAGGCGGGGUUACCCGCUGAAUUUAAGCAUAUCAAUAAGCGGAGGA
rnacentral:misc_RNA from 1 species